CUCUCUCCCCAAAUCUCUCUCACAUCCAAACCACCCAUCCCUCUAUUUUAAAUCUCCAAUUUAGAUUUUUUUUUUUGCUAUUCUACACGUUCUCUGCAAGCAAGAAAAACCAAGACCAUUCUACUCAAUUUCAAUUCAAGAAAUCGGAACUCUCACGUUCAAAGAAUCUCCCUUUUCAGCUUUGUGAACUCCACAAUUAAAUUCAAUUCACAGAGGUGAAUCAUCGCAAGUGAAACGUGAGACCAAAGGGAAGAGAGUACUUGAGAUUUUAAGCAAUCGAGGUUGAGCGGCGACGAGGAUGUGGUGGUGUUGAG